rnacentral:lncRNA from 1 species
ACUGAAAGCUGGUGACUCCAGAGGCCUUCAUGGAGAAACACACCAGUGGAAUAGAGCAGUGGAUGCUGUGUGCUACAAUAGCCAAGUGAGUAACGCCAGUCCAAGUGACAGCAGUGUCUCUUGGAGCCAGUGCUUGGUUGGAUGCCACUUUAGGGAGAGGCCAGCUGAGCACAGGACUCAGAGCAUCUGUGGGUUGGCUACAUCUCAAGGCUCCCAGUGUUAAAACACAGUUACUAGGUGAGAGACAACCGUGGGAGAUGUUCUGGAUCAGGGAGCCAUAGUUAAGCCAGCAGGAGAUGCCUGGAGAGCUACAAGCCGCAACUCCAUAACUAUUUUUGUUUUUUUGUUUUUUUGUUUUUUUGGUACCAGGGACUGCACUUGGGACCUUGCGCUUGAGGCAGGCAGCAGAACCACUGAGCUAAAUCCCUGACCUCCAACUCCAUAAUCAAAGACCAGGAUCAGAUUGAACCUCUGUGGAUUUGAAAGUGCCAGAACCAGCACCCUACCCUAAUCCGACUGCAGGUUUGCUGGGCUCUGGGCUCUGACUGCCUCCUUAGUCUACCAGCAAGAGCAGAGUGACACCCUGAACUGGACACUGCCAUAAAACUACAGACUCCAAAAGAGGACUUUGCACCGAGAGGUUCCAGGAGGACAUAACAUCACAGCUUUAGAAGCUGGUCUGGGCACAGGCACAGAUUUCCUACAAAAACCAGAGGCUCAAAAGGAAUUAAGGAAAGCCUGUAUCUUCCCUAUAAUCCCAGCUUUUAUUGAAGUAGAAGGUCGACUGGAAAUAAAAGUCACAUUGAUUUCCUUGAGAAAACACAUCACUGUAUUAAAAAAAAAAA